CCUACGGGAGGCAGCAGUGGGGAAUAUUGGACAAUGGGCGAAAGCCUGAUCCAGCCAUGCCGCGUGUGUGAAGAAGGCCUUCGGGUUGUAAAGCACUUUCAGUGGGGAAGAAAGCCUUGGGGCUAAUACCCUCGAGGAAGGACAUCACCCACAGAAGAAGCACCGGCUAACUCCGUGCCAGCAGCCGCGGUAAUACGGAGGGUGCGAGCGUUAAUCGGAAUUACUGGGCGUAAAGCGCGCGUAGGCGGUCUGAUAAGCCGGUUGUGAAAGCCCCGGGCUCAACCUGGGAACGGCAUCCGGAACUGUCAGGCUAGAGUGCAGGAGAGGAAGGUAGAAUUCCCGGUGUAGCGGUGAAAUGCGUAGAGAUCGGGAGGAAUACCAGUGGCGAAGGCGGCCUUCUGGACUGACACUGACGCUGAGGUGCGAAAGCGUGGGUAGCCAACAGGAUUAGAUACCCUUGUAGUC
rnacentral:rRNA from 1 species